GUUGAGUUUUAUUCUUGCUUUUUCAUUCAGUUUUAUGUUUGUUCUAUAUGUAAGUUUGUGCGUGAGUUAUGUUGGCAGGUCUAGAUGAAUUGCUUAUUUGGGGCUGAGGGCCUAUUAUUCUCAUUAGUUAUUUUUAAUUUAUCAAGUAUUCUUGUAUUUAGCAAUAUAUUUUAGUUUCGGUUAAAUUUUGUGCCAGCAGCCGCGGUUAUACCUUGGAGGCACUUGAAUGUGUUUGGUGGAUAGGUAGUUAUAUUGAUUUUUAUUUUGAUUUUGCUUUGAAGGUUAUUAGGUGAAAUUUUUACUUUUGUGGGUUUCUUUUAUUUGUUUGGAGGCUAUGAAAUUCUUUUUAUAGACUAGGAUUAGAUACCCUAUUAUUUUGGAAUGUUAAUUUUUGUUAUAUCUGAGUAGUAUUAGUUAUGUUCUUGAAACUUAAAGAAUUUGGCGGUAUCUCAUUCCUUCCAGAGGAAUCUGUCUCGUUAUCGAUAGUCCGCGUUGGACCUUACUUAGUUGCUUUGGUUUGUAUACCGCCGUUUAUUGAUUAUCUUUUUAGGGUUGGAUUAAUUUUCUGGUUUCUUUAUUUUGGUUUAUUUCAGGUCAAGGUGCAGCUUGUUUCUAAGUGAAUGAUGGAUUACAUUUUUAUUUGUUAUUGGAUUGAUGAUUUUGAUAUUGUCAUGAAAUUGGAUUUGGUUGUAAUGAUUUGUAGAUUGUUAUUGUGAUAGUUGGUUCUGGGAUAUGCACACAUCGCCCGUCGCUCUCGUUUGUUUAAUGAGAUAAGUCGUAACAAAGUGGCUGUACCGGAAGGUGUAGCUGGGUUGAA
rnacentral:ncRNA from 1 species